UUGUAAUUUUUUGCCUUCCUCACGUUACUGAGGAAAGGCUAUAAAAUCACUCGAAAAAUGAACUUCUCAAUUAGACCUCCUAGACCCACCUUCAUGUAUACCUAUCGACUCAGAAUCAAAUUCUGAGCAAAUGUCUGUGUGUGUGGUGGGAUGUUGAUCAAAAAAUUGUCACUCGAUUAUCUCGACAUUGGCUGAACCGAUUUUGUCCGUUUUGGCGUCAUUCGAUCCGUCUUGAGGUCCCAUAAGUCGCUAUUAAAAAUUAUGCAGUUUAGUUAAGUACUUCAAAAGUUAUGCUAAAAAAACGAUUUUAGCAAAAGUCCGGAAGAUUGUAAAAAGGGUGGUUUUUGUAAGAAAACCCGUCAUGCUAUACAUUUUCAGAAAGGUAUUCAAAAGACCUUUCCAACGCGUCCAAAACAUUGAAGAUCUGACAA